rnacentral:rRNA from 1 species
UACGUAGGGGGCAAGCGUUGUUCGGAUUUACUGGGCGUAAAGGGCGCGUAGGCGGCCACCGCAAGUCGACUGUGAAAUCUCCGGGCUUAACUCGGAAAGGUCAGCCGAUACUGCGGGGCUAGAGUGCAGAAGGGGCAACUGGAAUUCCUGGUGUAGCGGUGAAAUGCGCAGAUAUCAGGAGGAACACCGGUGGCGAAGGCGGGUCUCUGGGCCGAUACUGACGCUGAGGAGCGAAAGCGUGGGGAGCGAACAGG